UACACAGCAAUAAGGCUGAGCUGAUUAAAAAUUCAGUUCGGAUGAAUGGUUUAUUUUAUUGGUGUGAUAGCUAUGAAUAAUCAAACUACCCUCAAAUACUGGUCAUGGCUUGGUGCAUUUUCCGUCUCUGUCCUCUUCUGGAGCCAGAUGGUCUGGAUCUGCCUGCGCUAACCGCCUGAACGCCCGUUAUACGGGCGUUUUGCUUU
rnacentral:sRNA from 1 species